GACGAACGCUGGCGGCGUGCUUAACACAUGCAAGUCGAACGGAAAGGCCCUGCUUUUGUGGGGUGCUCGAGUGGCGAACGGGUGAGUAACACGUGAGUAACCUGCCCUUGACUUUGGGAUAACUUCAGGAAACUGGGGCUACUACCGGAUAGGAGCUCCUGCUGCAUGGUGGGGGUUGGAAAGUUUCGGCGGUUGGGGAUGGACUCGCGGCUUAUCAGCUUGUUGGUGGGGUAGUGGCUUACCAAGGCUUUGACGGGUAGCCGGCCUGAGAGGGUGACCGGCCACAAUGGGACUGAGAGAGGGACCAGACUGCUACGGGAGGCAGAAGUGGGGAAUAUUGCACAAUGGGCGGAAGCGUGAUGCAGCAACGCCGCGUGCGGGAUGACGGCCUUCGGGGUGUAAACCGCUGUCGGCUGUGACGAAGCGUGAGUGACGGUAAUGGGUAAAGAAGCACCGGCUAACUACGUG
rnacentral:rRNA from 1 species